rnacentral:rRNA from 1 species
UACGGAGGGUGCAAGCGUUAUCCGGAUUCACUGGGUUUAAAGGGUGCGUAGGUGGCUUUGUAAGUCAGUGGUGAAAGCUCGGAGCUCAACUCCGAAACUGCCAUUGAUACUGCUUAGCUUGAAUCAGGUCGAGGUGGAUGGAAUGUGACAUGUAGCGGUGAAAUGCUUAGAUAUGUUACAGAACACCGAUUGCGAAGGCAGUUCACCAGCCCUGUAUUGACACUGAGGCACGAAAGCGUGGGGAUCAAACAGGAUUAGAUACCCUGGUAGUCCACGCCCUAAACGAUGUAAACUCGACAUUAGCGAUAUACAGUUAGUGUCUUAGCGAAAGCGUUAAGUUUACCACCUGGGAAGUACGUCCGCAAGGAUGAA